rnacentral:rRNA from 1 species
AGCGAACGCUGGCGGCAGGCCUAACACAUGCAAGUCGAACGAACUCUUCGGAGUUAGUGGCGGACGGGUGAGUAACACGUGGGAACGUGCCUUUUGGUUCGGAAUAACUCAGGGAGACUUGUGCUAAUACCGAAUGUGCCCUUCGGGGGAAAGAUUUAUCGCCAUUAGAGCGGCCCGCGUCUGAUUAGCUAGUUGGUGAGGUAACGGCUCACCAAGGCGACGAUCAGUAGCUGGUCUGAGAGGAUGACCAGCCACACUAGGACUGAGACACGGCCCAGACUCCUACGGGAGGCAGCAGUGGGGAAUCUUGCGCAAUGGGCGAAAGCCUGACGCAGCCAUGCCGCGUGAAUGAUGAAGGUCUUAGGAUUGUAAAAUUCUUUCACCGGGGACGAUAAUGACGGUACCCGGAGAAGAAGCCCCGGCUAACUUCGUG